ensembl:lncRNA
AACACUAAUAGCUUAACUGAUCACUAACCAAUCACUGCUUUACUGUAGUAUAGGCCUAUAAAUAGGUCAUAGGUCAGAUUACCUGUUUUGAACAAUGGAUGCCAACAAUGGACAAAGAGCAAGAGGAGUAGGAGGGAGAGGAAGAGGAAGAAGAGGACGAGGGCAAAGAAGAGAAGGAAGGAGAGCCAUCUCUGAUGAGAUUAGGGCAACACUUGUUGGUCAUGUGAUCAACCACGGUUUGACCAUGAGAGAGGCUGGACUGAGAGUCCAGCCCAACUUGAGUCGAUUUACAGUGGUGUCCAUAAUUCGAACCUUCAGAAAUGAGAACAGAGUGGAAAGGCAAAGACAUCAUGGAGGACGAGGACGCUUGUUUACAGAUGUACAAGAGACAGCAAUUAUAAAUAUGGGGUUGGCCAACAAUGCAAUUAGGAUUCGAGAGAUAAGAGAGCAUAUCUUGAAGAAUGACACCAUAUUUAACAACAUCAAUGCUGCAAGCCUGUCGACCAUACAAGGCAUCCUCCAACGGCACCGAGUGACGAUGAAACAACUUUACAAGAGAGUAUUGGAGCUGGAUGCCCAUGUAAUUCACCAUGAAUUUAUUUAUGAGGAUGAGGUUGGCUUCAACCUCACCAAAACCAGGCGCCGCGGAAGAAAUGUAAUAAGGAAAGAGGGCAUUUACCAAUGUCCCUGGACAGCGUGGGGGUAAUAUAACUAUGUGUGCCGCCAUCACUCAAAACGGGGUCCUCCAUCACAAUGCCACACUGGG